rnacentral:tRNA from 1 species
GCACCGUGUCCUCGGUGGUCUGAGGGCUUGGCUUACAUCCAAGUACAUUGAGUUCGAUUCUCAAACGGUGUA